rnacentral:rRNA from 1 species
AGCGGCGGACGGGUGAGUAACACGUGAGGAACAUGCCCUUCAGUGGGGAACAACACCGGGAAACCGGUGCUAAUACCGCAUGACGUCCCUGGGGAGACAUCUUCCUGGGACCAAAGGAGAAAUCCGCUGAAGGAUGGCCUCGCGUCCGAUUAGCUAGUUGGCGGGGUAACGGCCCACCAAGGCUUCGAUCGGUAGCCGAACUGAGAGGUUGAUCGGCCACAUUGGGACUGAGACACGGCCCAGACUCCUACGGGAGGCAGCAGUGGGGAAUAUUGGGCAAUGGGGGAAACCCUGACCCAGCAACGCCGCGUGAAGGACGAAGGCCUUCGGGUUGUAAACUUCUUUGACCGGGGACGAACACAAUGACGGUACCCGGGGAACAAGCCACGGCUAACUACGUGCCAGCAGCCGCGGUAA